rnacentral:rRNA from 1 species
UGGGGAAUAUUGCACAAUGGAGGGAACUCUGAUGCAGCGACGCCGCGUGAACGAAGAAGGCUUUCGAGUCGUAAAGUUCUUUUAAAUGGGAAGAUAAUGACGGUACCAUAAGAAAAAGCCCCGGCUAACUACGUGCCAGCAGCCGCGGUAAUACGUAGGGGGCUAGCGUUGUCCGGAAUCACUGGGCGUAAAGGGUUCGCAGGCGGAAAUGCAAGUCAGGUGUAAAAGGCAGUAGCUUAACUACUGUAAGCAUUUGAAACUGCAUAUCUUGAGAAGAGUAGAGGUAAGUGGAAUUUUUAGUGUAGCGGUGAAAUGCGUAGAUAUUAAAAAGAAUACCGGUGGCGAAGGCGGCUUACUGGGCUCAUUCUGACGCUGAGGAACGAAAGCGUGGGUAGCAAACAGG